GAUGAACGCUGGCGGCGUGCCUAAUACAUGCGAGUCGAGCGAACAGACGAGGAGCUUUCUCCUCUGACGUUAGCGGCGGACGGGUGAGUAACACGUAGAUAACCUUCCUAUAAGACUUGGAUAACUUCGUGAAACCGCAGCUAAUACCGGAUCAUAUAUUGAACCGCAUGGUUCAAUAGUGCAACACGGUUUUCCUGUCUCUUAUAGAUGGAUCCGCGUCGCAUUAGCUAGUUGGUAAGGUAACGGCUUACCAAGGCAACGAUGCGUAGCCGACCUGAGAGGGUGAUCGGACACACUGGAACUGAGACACGGUCCAGACUCCUACGGGAGGCAGCAGUAGGGAAUCUUCCGCAAUGGGCGAAAGCCUGACGGAGCAACGCCGCGUGAGUGAUGAAGGUCUUCGGAUCGUAAAACUCUGUUGUUAGGGAAGAACAAAUGUGUAAGUAACUAUGCACGUCUUGACGGUACCUAAUCAGAAAGCCACGGCUAACUACGUG
rnacentral:rRNA from 1 species